CAUUGAUCUGUUUAGCUCUGGAUCUGUCUUCUGUUGAAGAUCUGGAUCUGUUCCUUGUUGCUUUAACCUGAAAAGAAAUGGGAGGGGAGACAAAGACAACACCAACAACAAGAACAAGAACAACAAAAACUCUGAAGGCAAGAGGAAAGGACAAAGUUGCAAAUUUUCCUGCAGCUGCUUUGAUGAGAAAUUCUUCUCUCUCAACACCACCACUCACAAGUCGAGGACUGAGGAGAAAGCUCAACAUAAUGUCUGCCUCACAAGAUGGAGGAUAAAGAACAAGAACUAUAUAAAAAAUGCCUCAGAGUGCAGAAGGUUAAGCACCUGGUGGCAGGAAGGAAAGAGAACUGUUGAUUGGUUGCUUAGGAGCAAGUGAACAAACAACUGAGAUCACCCUUUCUUACAUACAUAAGAAAAGAUGACAGUCAAGUCAGUAAUGGGAAAUACAGAAUGAAUUCUCCCGUGGUACACCUGAAAGAAACUUGGAGAUCUUUCUUAUCUGUCCUGCUGGAAACUGGUUGGAUGAGCCACCUGACACAGACAUAUUGAAUCAAAGCACAAAUAUAUGUUUCCCUUAUUGGAAAAUGAAGUAUUAUUCAAAAAGCAAGAUACAA